CGUUGCACACUCAUUAAAUUAUUUCUACAGCUACCAUCUCAUCUUCUCUUCAUCUCUGGCACCUUCGCUUAAGUCAUGCUUCUCUUAGUAAACUUCGUCAACUAGCAUCUAGCGGUUUGUUAGAGUCUAUAAAUAAUAAGUCUUUCAACUAUUUAUAUUGUCAACUUGCAAAACAACUAGCACUAUCUUUUACUAAAAGUGAC
rnacentral:lncRNA from 1 species